rnacentral:lncRNA from 1 species
AGUGAGGCUUGCUUUGGGCUGUCUACUUGCUUUGGCCUUGAUUCCCUUCACUGUUGUUAGCCUUGGUUAUUUAUCCUUAUCCCACAAGGAUGAAAUUUAAGGGGGCAUUGGGAGACCUGAAGAUUAGCGGGAUUUACCCUUUGUCCAUGUGGUGCAGAUGAGUAUUGGUUUAGUGUGUCCCAGAUCCUAUACGGAACUCAGAUUAACUAUCAAGUGGUCCUGAGCACCAUUUUCAGUGGCUUUACAUGUGUGGCCACACUCAGGCCUUUCCACAGAGACAGAUUGCUGGCACAAUCCAGUCUAGAGCCCUAAAGGCCUCCCCUGCUGGCUUUAGAUUAGAAGCUGGCUGUUUCAGGGUGACUCAGUGGCUUAAAGUAAAAAACGAGUUCUUUCCUCCAUCUGGGACCCUGCACUCAGUCCAAUGGUUCGCUGCGAGCAUCUGCCUCUGUAUUGGUCAGGCUCUCGGAGGAUUCGAACUCAGACUCUCAUGCUCAUUUGGCAAACACGGAAGAGUUAUUUCACAGGAUGCUUCUGGAGGCAGAAAGUGAUCCCCUGGAAAAUGAUAAUCUAAAGGUGAGCCAGGUAUAUUAGAGGAUGGUGAGGAUGGGAUGGAUCUAAAUACACUGUGCAAUGGAAUCCGAUCAUAGUGGGAAAGUAGUAAUUUCUUCGCUUUGCCAGUGAAGCUUAUGCUCAAGAGUGAGUCAGGUAUCAUCCCGCUGUAUGCCUCAGACUACAAGGAAAGGGAGUCAACGCUCACAUUCCCAAUUAACCAACCCUUUAUAAGCCUUUCCUUGGGGGUGAAGCCAUGUAGGAGCAAAGGGAUGUUGCAAGGUCUGCAGUGGUCACAGAGAACCUCACUUUGGAGACCAAUGCUAUUCUCCAUUUUUUAAAAAUUAUUUAUUUUUUUGGAACCUCUACCAAAACUGAAACCAAAGCCCUUCCACUUCUAACACUAUCAGGUUUACUGAAAUUAAAUUGGACACAGAAUUUU